rnacentral:rRNA from 1 species
GGACUACACGGGUUUCUAAUCCUGUUUGCUCCCCACGCUUUCGUGCCUCAGCGUCAGUUAUGGGCCAGUGAGCCGCCUUCGCCACUGGUGUUCUUGCGAAUAUCUACGAAUUUCACCUCUACACUCGCAGUUCCACUCACCUCUCCCAUACUCAAGACUUCCAGUAUCAAGGGCAGUUCUGGAGUUGAGCUCCAGGAUUUCACCCCUGACUUAGAAACCCGCCUACGCACCCUUUACGCCCAGUGAUUCCGAGCAACGCUAGCCCCCUUCGUAUUACCGCGGCUGCUGGCAC